rnacentral:rRNA from 1 species
GACGAACCGUGCGAACGUUGUUCGGAAUCACUGGGCUUAAAGGGCGCGUAGGCGGCAUGCCGAGCCCGGGGUGAAAGCCCCCGGCUCAACCGGGGAAGGGCCUUGGGGACCGGCGUGCUCGAGGGGGGUAGGGGUCGCGGGAACUUCGGGUGGAGCGGUGAAAUGCGUUGAUAUCCGAAGGAACGCCGGCGGCGAAAGCGGCUCUCUGGGACGGUACUGACGCUGAGACGCGAAAGCGUGGGGAGCGAACAGG